UACAGAGGAGCCAAGCGUUGUCCGGAUUGACUGGGCGUAAAGCGCACGCAGGCGGUUGCGCGCGUGGGGUGUGAAAUCUGGCCGCUUAACGGCCAGGCGCCAUCCCAUACGGCGCGACUGGAGCGAUGCAGAGGUCGGUGGAAUUGCCGGUGUAGUGGUGAAAUGCGUAGAUAUCGAGAGGAACACCUGCGGCGAAGGCGGGUUGCUGGGCUGACACUGACGCUGAGGCGCGAAAGCCAGGGGAGCGAACGGG
rnacentral:rRNA from 1 species